CUGGGCCUCCUCUCGCUCCUCUGUGACCCUCCAGAGUGAGGCAUGAGGGGGCGGUGGGGAGCAGGGAGGGCAGGG
rnacentral:miRNA from 1 species